rnacentral:rRNA from 1 species
UACGUAGGGUGCAAGCGUUGUCCGGAAUUAUUGGGCGUAAAGAGCUCGUAGGCGGUCUGUCGCGUCGGAUGUGAAAACCCAGGGCUCAACCCUGGGCCUGCAUUCGAUACGGGCAGACUAGAGUUCGGUAGGGGAGACUGGAAUUCCUGGUGUAGCGGUGAAAUGCGCAGAUAUCAUGAGGAACACCGGUGGCGAAGGCGGGUCUCUGGGCCGAAACUGACGCUGAGGAGCGAAAGCGUGGGGAGCAAACAGG